rnacentral:rRNA from 1 species
UACAGAGGUCCCAAGCGUUGUUCGGAUUCACUGGGCGUAAAGGGUGCGUAGGUGGUGAGGUAAGUCGGAUGUGAAAUCUCCGAGCUCAACUCGGAAAUUGCAUUGGAAACUACCUUGCUCGAGGGUUGGAGGGGGGACUGGAAUGCUUGGUGUAGCAGUGAAAUGCGUAGAUAUCAAGCGGAACACCAGUGGCGAAGGCGAGUCCCUGGACAACUCCUGACACUGAUGCACGAAAGCUAGGGGAGCAAACAGG